rnacentral:lncRNA from 1 species
AUUGAUGUGCCGAAUGGAAGCGUCAGUUUCGUGAGGCUGGUGCGCAUGAGUCCUCUACCUCUAUUUGUGUUGGGUGGUCUGUCACGCCCCAUGCGUUUAAUGUUCAUUGAGACCAUGAGGUAUCGUCGAGCUCUAAACGUUAAAUUAAGCACUUGUUGGGAGGUAACCCAACCGUUUUCUUUGUUUUAUUUUUCUUUCUUUUAGUUUCUUUUUGUUUCUUUGUUUUCUUUGUUUUGGGGUUUUUGUACAGUUGAGCUUGGAAGUUGCGGGAACUCGCGUCUUGUUCAUACCACCACCCUGGAGCAUGUGUUUAUGUAAGUAGUGACAUACAUAUCAUCAUCCCUCCAAACUUAUUUUCGAACUUAUGUUCUGUAAUAAGUUUGGGGGAGGGGGGAUGAGAGUAGUAGAUAUGUGUAUCACUUAUAUUUAUUUUUUUGUUGGCUUUAUUGUUU